UUCAAUUGAUUGUGAAUAUUUUGUCAUCUGCAAAUGUCAUUUGUCCAACGUUCUGUAACAUGCCAUAAGUUAGCCUUAUGGACUGCAUUAUGGUAUGGAGAACUAAGUGCAGAUAAGCUCGUGGUCUGAUGAGCAUGUAAUUAUAUUUAUUGAUUGCAAUAACUCUGCAAUUUUAUUUUGCAGUGCCAUUACAACGGCAUCCACUUAAACAAUUACUGUCAAACCACAUAAACCAAACUGCAGAAGGACUCCUUUAAAUGGAUCUGGUGAUGCAACAGGUGGUCUAACUACUUUAGGAUGAAAUGGGCUGGGACUGAAGCUUGCAGGAACAGUGCUUUGAAUAUUCCAGAAAUGGCAAGAUGGAGUGUGAAAGACAGAGCUUUAGGAAGACUAAAGUUUUGAGUGCAGUGAUGAAGAAAUUCUGUCUUUGCCUCUCAUUGAGUUAAGUGAAAACACUUACAGAUUGAUCCACCAGUGAUGAGAAAUGCUGUGAUCUACACUGCUGGGGUGUGAGAGGGCAGCCUGUGUUGUAAUCCUGUGUUAGAAGUGAAUUAAUUGCCUGCUUUCCUGGCUCCAUGCCGGGAUGAUACCAGAACAAUUCUCCAUCCCUCUUUUCCCUGUUGUCACCCCAGUUUCUAUGAGCAUGAGAGCUGGAUGGGAAGGAAGGAGUGAUGUGCUGAAGCUGUGUCCCCUACCUGGGCAAUGGGAGACCUCCCGUGCAUGCCAGAUGAUUUCCCUCCAAGAGAAAAAUGAACUAGAUGGAUUGUUUGAAUCCAUUGGGCAAACGCCAACAGAGGAGACGGACCAAUGUUGUCCUCAUCACUACCAGCACCACCACCUGCAGGGAUUGUUUCCACCUGAGAGGGAAGAAUCCCUUCCUGCCAGGAUUGGAGACAUAGGCGUGAGGACUUGGUAUGGACUCAAGUGGUUUAUUCUUUGUUCAAAGUGGAAUCACAACUGUUACUUCCUGAUGAGUCUGAACAAGUGGAAGAAUUUUAUCUGCUCCUGAGAGAUGUCUGGGUCUGUCACAUAGACUUUUUGCUGGGGACGAAGGAAGUCUGGCUUUAACCCUGGUUCGGGCAGCAUCCCACACUGAGUUGGAAAGAAAGCUCAGCUUUAAAAUGGAGCUGAGCUGGGCAGAAAUGGACGCAGUUUCAGAGAUGGUUUUAAAAAGCACUCGGGCUGUGGCAGCGCUACAGGAAGCGGGCUUUAGCAACAAAGAUGGAAACACGCCUCAGAGGAAUGGCUGAAGUGUAAUGAACAGGGUUAUCUUUUAAAUCCACCGGGAAAAAAAGUUACACCUGUGUUACCUGUGUUAAAGACCCUUCCUUGGUGAAAAUAUGUUCCCCUGUGGUACAAAGGCUGUGACAGGAGUAAGCUUCUCGAAUGCCAAAGCUCCCGUUGAGAAGCCUUGUCUAAGGAAGGAAAAAAUGAGCAAAUCUCUGGCCUGAUCCUGAAAACCUUUCUCACUCCCACUGGAAUCUGGAUUUUCAGGCUAGAGGAUUGCCUUAAAAAAAAGCUACAGGUAAUACAGAGGAAGUCUUUCUGAGUCAAUCCCUGUAGGAAAUGUUUAAAUGUUUGUGGGUUUUUUCUUUCUUUCUGGUGUGGGUUUUUUGGGGGUUUGGUUUUUGUGUUUUGGGUUUUUUUUCACAUUUGGAAUACUUACAGAUUAUUUUUUUUCCUUGCACUUAGAUAACAAAAUUAACAGUCUCAUUUAGUUUUUAGUUCAUAUGUGCCAGCAAAAAGGCUGACCCUUGCAAGAGGUGUAAUGGAUUCAAAAGGCUUUAAAGCCUCUUUCAUCAUAUUUCAAUUAGUAUAUCAUAUGUUUUAUGAAGUUUUCCAACAGAAAAAUUAUAUGGAAACUAUAUAAUAUCUUUAUUGGUUUCUUGAAUGGUGUAGACAAAGUGUGUCACAGCUUUAUUCUGUGUUUCCCAGUGAACCUGAUAACAAUUGUCGCCUCUUAGCGCUGCCUAUAGAACAGUAUACAGGGAUAUGCCUUUCAUUGAUUUAGUUUUAAGCUACUGUACUUACACAAAUAUCUAUUGAGUUCACUCAUGUCAAAUUUGUAAUCUUAUAUUGUACCUCUUACACUGAUUCUUUUAUUGUGAUAGCCGAAUGCUGUCUUUGGGGACUGAUCUGUGAAUUGUGAGGAUGUCUCCUAUACAGAGCAGGAACAAUGUGGAGCUUCAUUAUUAAGCCCUACCAAAGUGCUUCUGCUCUGGUCUAAAUUAAUCACCCUUAAAAAUAAGAGGACGUAACCUUACCUAGUUAUUCGUUAAUGACUCGUAGUCCUUGCACAUCAAGAUCUCACCAAAUCCAGCAAGAGGACAGUUUGCAGCCUCUCUCAGACUGCAUCUAAUGUGACAAGAAAAAUACAGAAGUGACAAUAGUUCAUGAUGGGAAAGGUAGUAGAAGCAUAAGAGGAAAACUCUGAAUACAUAAGAAGAAACUUUUGCGUGUUUGCCUGCUUGUUUUUACCCUAUAUCCAAAGCAAACUCAACUUAGCGUUUUCAUAGAGACUCUCUUUCUUCUCUGACCUGAUCAGAGAUGGUAGGGAACAACAAUCUCAUCUGAAAACGUAGUAUCCUGAGACUUCCAUUUUGGCCUUUUUUCUGAUGUUUGACAGUUUGGGUGAUGAUGCAAACUGAUGAAGCAUCUGCUCACGGUCUGCUUUGCUGUUGUCCUGCACUUUAUGUCUGGUUUUCAAGGAAAAUACAAGCUCUUAUUCUUCACUGAUAGUGCUCUGCACCCACUGUAACUGCUUGCUUCACAUCUUCCUGAUAUGCAACAUGUAUGUAUAUGAAUGACUGAUCGCAUCUUUCACUGCUGUGCUGCCUUAUUCCUAAGGGUAUCGAAAAGCUUUACAGUUUAUAAUAAAGCAUAUGCUGAGUGUCACUAUCGCACGUGAGAGGCAUUGGUCUAAUUUUACAGAUUAUGAUCUGGAGAAAAUUCUGAUAGAAUUUGAUCAGAUUAGUAACGGGUUUUGAGGUUUCUGUAGAAAAAGAGAGGGAUGUUUCUAGUAAGAUGUUCCAAAAUUGGU